GAGCGAUGAUGAUAAGGUUUUCCUACUGACCUCUGUAACUCUGAAGGUUUUUACACUUGAUCUGAGCUCA
rnacentral:snoRNA from 12 species